rnacentral:rRNA from 1 species
GACGAACGCUGGCGGCGUGCCUAAUACAUGCAAGUAGAACGCUGAAGGAGGAGCUUGCUUCUCUGGAUGAGUUGCGAACGGGUGAGUAACGCGUAGGUAACCCGCCUGGUAGCGGGGGAUAACUAUUGGAAACGAUAGCUAAUACCGCAUAAUAGCAGUUGUUGCAUGACAACUGUUUGAAAGGUGCAAUUGCACCACUACCAGAUGGACCUGCGUUGUAUUAGCUAGUUGGUGGGGUAACGGCUCACCAAGGCGACGAUACAUAGCCGACCUGAGAGGGUGAUCGGCCACACUGGGACUGAGACACGGCCCAGGCUCCUACGGGAGGCAGCAGUAGGGAAUCUUCGGCAAUGGACGGAAGUCUGACCGAGCAACGCCGCGUGAGUGAAGAAGGUUUUCGGAUCGUAAAGCUCUGUUGUAAGAGAAGAACGAGUGUGAGAGUGGAAAGUUCACACUGUGACGGUAUCUUACCAGAAAGGGACGGCUAACUACGUG